rnacentral:rRNA from 1 species
AUAACGACUCUCGGCAACGGAUAUUUCGGCUCUCGCAUCGAUGAAGAACGUAGCGAAAUGCGAUACUUGGUGUGAAUUGCAGAAUCCCGUGAACCAUCGAGUCUUUGAACGCAAGUUGCGCCCGAAGCCUUUAGGCCGAGGGCACGUCUGCCUGGGUGUCACG